rnacentral:tRNA from 1 species
CAAGACAUAGCUAAAAUAAAGCAUCUCCCUUACACUGAGAAGAUGUCCUAUAACAGGGCUGCCUUGA